UACAGAGGCCUCGAGCGUUAGGCGGAAUCACUGGGCUUAAAGCGUGUGUAGGUGGAUGCCUAAGUACCUCGUGAAAUCCCACAGCUUAACUGUGGAACUGCUUGGUAUACUGGGUGUCUUGAGCCACUCAGGGGCUACUGGAACAAACGGUGGAGCGGUGAAAUGCGUAGAUAUCGUUUGGAACGCCAAUGGUGAAAACAGGUAGCUGGGGGUGUGCUGACACUGAGACACGAAAGCUAGGGGAGCGAAUGGG
rnacentral:rRNA from 1 species